GAUGAACGCUGGCGGCGUGCCUAAUACAUGCAAGUCGAGCGAAUGGAUUAAGAGCUUGCUCUUAUGAAGUUAGCGGCGGACGGGUGAGUAACACGUGGGUAACCUGCCCAUAAGACUGGGAUAACUCCGGGAAACCGGGGCUAAUACCGGAUAACAUUUUGAACCGCAUGGUUCGAAAUUGAAAGGCGGCUUCGGCUGUCACUUAUGGAUGGACCCGGGUCGCAUUAGCUAGUUGGAGAGGUAACGGCUCACCAAGGCAACGAUGCGUAGCCGACCUGGGAGGGUGAUCGGCCACACUGGGACUGAGACACGGUCCAGACUCCUACGGGAGGCAGCAGUAGGGAAUCUUCCGCAAUGGACGAAAGUCUGACGGAGCAACGCCGCGUGAGUGAUGAAGGCUUUCGGGUCGUAAAACUCUGUUGUUAGGGAAGAACAAGUGCUAGUUGAAUAAGCUGGCACCUUGACGGUACCUAACCAGAAAGCCACGGCUAACUACGUGCCAGCCGCCGCAGUAA
rnacentral:rRNA from 1 species